UACGUAGGGGGCAAGCGUUGUCCGGAUUCAUUGGGCGUAAAGAGCGUGUAGGCGGCCAGGUAGGUCGGUUGUGAAAACUGGAGGCUCAACCUUCAGAGGUCGACCGAAACCAUCUGGCUAGAGUCCGGGAGAGGAGAGUGGAAUUCCGGGUGUAGCGGUGGAAUGCGUAGAGAUCCGGAAGAACACCGGUGGCGAAGGCGGUCUGCUGGGGUAAUGCUGACACUGAUGCGCGACAGCGUGGGGAGCAACAGG
rnacentral:rRNA from 1 species